rnacentral:rRNA from 1 species
CACGUAGGGUGCGAGCGUUGUCCGGAAUUAUUGGGCGUAAAGAGCUCGUAGGCGGUGUGUCGCGUCGGCCGUGAAAACCUGCAGCUUAACUGUGGGCUUGCGGUCGAUACGGGCAUCACUGGAGUUCGGCAGGGGAGACUGGAAUUCCUGGUGUAGCGGUGAAAUGCGCAGAUAUCAGGAGGAACACCGGUGGCGAAGGCGGGUCUCUGGGCCGAUACUGACGCUGAGGCGCGAAAGCCAGGGAGGCGAACGGG